rnacentral:rRNA from 1 species
GUGACCUAGUUCAACGGCCGCGGUAUCCUAACCGUGCGAMGGYAGCGUAAUCACUUGUUCUUUAAAUGAGGACUAGUAUGAAUGGCACCACGAGGGUUAAGCUGUCUCCUUUUUCUAAUCAGUGAAACUAAUCUCCCCGUGAAGAAGCGGGGAUUAUACUAUAAGACGAGAAGACCCUAUGGAGCUUAAAACAAAUUAACACUUGCUUCUAUCCAUUUUUACUCCUGAACUAACACAUAAAAUAUAGCAUCGUUGAUUAAUAGUUUUCGAUUGGGGUGAUCAUGGAGUAAAAACCAACCUCCACGACGAAAAGGAACACUUCCCUGAGCUAAAAGCUACAACUUUAAGCACUAAAAAAUUAACGCACUUUGACCCAAAUUUUUGAGCAACGAACCAAGUUACCCUAGGGAUAACAGCGCAAUCCAUUUCAAGAGCCCCUAUCGACAAAUGGGUUUACGACCUCGAUGUUGGAUCAGGGUAUCCCAGUGGUGCAGCCGCUACUAAAGGUUCGUUUGUUCAACGAUUAAAACCCUACGUGAUCUGAGUUCAGA